rnacentral:rRNA from 1 species
AACGUAGGUGGCAAGCGUUAUCCGGAAUUACUGGGUGUAAAGGGAGCGCAGGUGGGAUUUUAAGUCGAAUGUGAAAUGCACGGGCUCAACCCGUGAAUUGCGUUCGAUACUAUAGUUCUUGAGUGGAGUAGAGGCAGGCGGAAUUCCCGGUGUAGCGGUGGAAUGCGUAGAUAUCGGGAGGAAUACCAGUGGCGAAGGCGGCCUGCUGGGCUCUAACUGACACUGAGGCUCGAAAGCGUGGGUAGCAAACAGGAUUAGAUACCCUGGUAGUCCACGCUGUAAACGAUGAUUACUAGGUGUGGGGGGACUGACCCCUUCCGUGCCGGAGUUAACACAAUAAGUAAUCCACCUGGGGAGUACGACCGCAAGGUUGAA